ensembl:lncRNA
UUCUUCUGCAGGGCGAAAGAAAGCUCUCUCAACGUGUAGUUCUCACAUAACAAUUGUAGUUUUAUUUUUUGUGCCCUGUAUCUAUACUUACGUUCUACCUGCAGGGAGCAAGAACAAGGACAAGGACAUCUCUGUGUUUUACACUGUGAUUGCCCCCAUGCUGAACCCUCUCAUCUACACCCUGAGAAACACGGAGAUGAAAAUCACCAUAAGGAAGCUCGUGGGAUAGCCACUGAUGGGACUGGAGAAGCAGCGGUGGGGAAGAGGGCAGCAACUGCAGCAGCAACCUCUGGCCGAGGUGCGGUGCCUCCUGCUUUGCCCGCCAGCCCCCAGAAUAGACUUUUAAAUAUAGCUGAGAUUAACCUCAACAAUACAGAUACCAAGUGGUUAAAAGUAAAGGAAGAAUAUUGAGUGUGGGGAUUAUAAGUGAAAUCAAGGAAAACACAUUGAGUAAAAAAUAAAGAAGGAACACUGAAGG